rnacentral:tRNA from 1 species
UCCUCAGUAGCUCAGUUGGUUAGAGCACCUGACUGUUAAUCAGGGGGUCCCAGGUUCAAGUCCUGGCUGGGGAGCCA